rnacentral:rRNA from 1 species
ACUUAGUGGCGAACGGGUGAGUAAUGCGUGAGCAACCUGCCUUUCAGAGGGGGACAACAGCUGGAAACGGCUGCUAAUACCGCAUAACACAUUCAGGCGGCAUCACCUGGAUGUCAAAGGAGCGAUCCGCUGAGAGAUGGGCUCACGUCUGAUUAGCUAGUUGGUGAGGUAACGGCUCACCAAGGCGACGAUCAGUAGCCGGUCUGAGAGGAUGAACGGCCACAUUGGGACUGAGAUACGGCCCAGACUCC